UACGAAGGGGGCUAGCGUUGCUCGGAAUCACUGGGCGUAAAGCGCACGUAGGCGGCUUUUUAAGUCAGGGGUGAAAUCCUGGAGCUCAACUCCAGAACUGCCUUUGAUACUGAGAAGCUUGAGUCCGGGAGAGGUGAGUGGAACUGCGCGUGUAGAGGUGAAAUUCGUAGAUAUUCGCAAGAACACCAGUGGCGAAGGCGGCUCACUGGCCCGGUACUGACGCUGAGGUGCGAAAGCGUGGGGAGCAAACAGG
rnacentral:rRNA from 1 species